UCUGUUAGCCUGCGUGAUAACCAUUUUUGUGUGAACUCCAUGCGGCACCACUGUCCAAUAUGCAAUGAGAUGAUGCAGAAUUCCUAAUUACGGAAGCCAACUGCCAGCUAAUUCUCGCUAUAUAUUUUUAUAUAAACCCCAAGCUAGGAUUCGUGGUAGUUUGACCACUUGUCCACCAUUCUUCAUGAUAUGUGUUCAACGACAACGUUUUUGUAAAUCCUCUCAAUGUUUCUGUGAAGCAUACAAGCCCCAAGAAGGGAACUCCAGACUACUUGCCGAAUCAGGCCUCACGCCUUGUAGAGAUGACCGGCAUCCCCAAGAAGAUCAACCGUGUAUGUGCAAUACUGCUCGUUUUACACCAAAUUCAAGGCUCGU